rnacentral:rRNA from 1 species
UACGAAGGGGGGCUAGCGUUGCUCGGAAUCACUGGGCGUAAAGGGUGCGUAGGCGGGUUUUUAAGUCAGGGGUGAAAUCCUGGAGCUCAACUCCAGAACUGCCUUUGAUACUGAAGAUCUUGAGUUCGGGAGAGGUGAGUGGAACUGCGAGUGUAGAGGUGAAAUUCGUAGAUAUUCGCAAGAACACCAGUGGCGAAGGCGGCUCACUGGCCCGAUACUGACGCUGAGGUGCGAAAGCGUGGGGAGCAAACAGG